UUACAGAUAAGAUAAAUAAUCUAUUAAUUUUAGGAAUUAAAAAUAUCUUAUAGGUUUCUGUAAA